rnacentral:rRNA from 1 species
GAUGAACGCUGGCGGCGUGCCUAACACAUGCAAGUCGAGCGAUUUACUUCGGUAAAGAGCGGCGGACGGGUGAGUAACGCGUGGGUAACCUGCCUCAUACACAUGGAUAACAUACCGAAAGGUAUGCUAAUACAAGAUGAUAUAAGAGAUUCGCAUGGAUUUCUUAUCAAAGCUCCGGCGGUAUGAGAUGGACCCGCGUCUGAUUAGCUAGUUGGUAAGGUAACGGCUUACCGAGGCGACGAUCAGUAGCCGACCUGAGAGGGUGAUCGGCCACAUUGGAACUGAGACACGGUCCAAACUCCUACGGGAGGCAGCAGUGGGGAAUAUUGCACAAUGGGCGAAAGCCUGAUGCAGCAACGCCGCGUGAGCGAUGAAGGCCUUCGGGUCGUAAAGCUCUGUCCUCAAGGAAGAUAAUGACGGUACUUGAGGAGGAAGCCCCGGCUAACUACGUGCCAGCCGCCGCGGUAAGAC